rnacentral:rRNA from 1 species
GACGGAGGGUGCUAGCGUUGUUCGGAUUUACUGGGCGUAAAGGGCGCGUAGGCGGCCUUCUCAGUCGGGUGUGAAAGCCCGGGGCUCAACCCCGGAACGGCACCCGAGACGGGAAGGCUGGAGACCGGGAGAGGAGGGUGGAAUAGCCAGUGUAGAGGUGAAAUUCGUAGAUAUUGGCUGGAACACCGGUGGCGAAAGCGGCUCUCUGGCCCGGUUCUGACGCUGAGGCGCGAAAGCGUGGGGAGCAAACGGG